UACGGAGGAUGCAAGCGUUAUCCGGAAUGAUUGGGCGUAAAGAGCUCGUAGGCGGUUUGUCGCGUCUGCUGUGAAAACCCGAGGCUCAACCUUGGAAAGCCGGUGGAUACUGUGAGGCUAGAGUACGGAAGAGGCGAGUGGAAUUCCUGGUGUAGCGGUGGAAUGCGCAGAUAUCAGGAGGAACACCAAUAGCGAAGGCAGCUCGCUGGGACGUUACUGACACUGAGGCGCGAAAGCGUGGGGAGCGAACAGG
rnacentral:rRNA from 1 species